rnacentral:sRNA from 1 species
GACAUCAGUCUAGUAGGAGAUGUGAUUUUCGCCUAUUAGAGACUCAGGACGCAUCCUUGUUUCUUUCUUUUACCUUGUUUCAUGCCUGUUUCCUGUAGAAGGAGGCCAGAAGCUACCCAUAAUACUCAACCAAACAGCUUGAAUCCUUUCCCAAAUUUCCACACAACCUUCGCCUUCAACUUUCCUACCCAAAUUUUGUCCAACUCAUAAACUACAUAUCCUAUCGCCGCCAUUAGACUCAUGAAGAUACAGUUGACUCCCAAGAUCACCAAAUUGCCGCUCGCGCUAACACUCGACUGUUUGGUGAUGUACGAUGCAAUAUCACGGAAAUAGAGCAGGCUGGCUGUGAAGGCGAUAACGAUGACCAAGAUGAAGAGCCAUUUCAGGGACGUUCGGACGCCUGGGAGGUGGAAUCGACCUUGUCCCCCACUGUUUGACUCCUUGUCGGUUGUUUCAAAAGAAGACUUUUUGGAGGAAAGAGACCGAAUUCGAGGGCGAAGAAGGGCGUACCAAGAUCCUGCUAUAGUGAGAAGGAAAAGAAAGAAUAGGAAGUUGAGGACCGCGAAAGUCCCUUCGCCGUCGAGACUUCCUGCUACUUCUUUCAUGGAUUUUUGGGAGGAGACGACAUCAGGCAAGCUAGAGAAGGAUGUCGACGAUCCAGUGCCGACCAUGUAUACUAGGCUCAUCACCUGGCGAUUAAUGAGCACGAUGCCGACCAAUUGGACGGAAAAAAUGAGAAUACGCAAGUAUGUCCAGCGGGUUGAUCGACGCCAAAAAACUCGAGGGGUGGAGAAAUGACGGCCCAUAAUGAGUACCCGUAGACUGCCUCGGCCAUAUUCUUCGAAGCUCUGCCACUUAUAUUUCCAAUAACUUGUCCCUUUUGGCUCAGCAGCGACGCUCAGUGUCUUAUGAAUAAGAAGACCCAUGAUAGGGAUGCAAAUGAUGCUCCACAUGCUGAUAAAUGCAAAGAAGGCUGUGGGCUCGAACGAUAAGUUCCUGACGAAAUCCGAGAACCAGCUUUGGGUGACGAAGAGAUCAACUGGGGUACUGUUGCUAGUGGCACGCUUGUGCCAGAGUCGCUGCAGCAAAGAAGGACCAUACAGGUGCGGUUUUGAGGAUGCGCCAGGACGCCUUUAUAAGGGUCAUUGGUCCCAGCGCAAUCCUUGAAUUGUAAAGGGCGCUGUUGAUACCGUCCUUUUCGUCAUCACCAAUUCUCCUGCCCUCUUUGGCCUUCCCACCUCGACUCCUUUGGUCAUCACCCUGCUUUCUCUCCUUCUUCUGCUUGGAUUCCACCUCUUUGUCCUUCAUCUUAUCUCGUUCAUUCUCUCUUCCUUCGGCAGCUUCUCGCUUCUUCGCUCUAUCUUCAAGUCUCUGCUCGCGCAGCUCCUUUUUGGACAUCUUAAGGAUUAUCUCUUCAUCCAAGUUCUCUUUAUGACCUCGUCUAUCCCCGUGCCCGAAUUGCGUGCGCUCCUUCCUUUGUUGAUCCAUUUCCUGCGGUCUGUCAGGUUGCGUUUUGGGACUAGGCAAUUCAUCCUCUGGACGAUAUGGCUUUUCCUGUGGGUUUUCGAACUUUUGCUGGCCAUCCACAACAAGUUCGUGUUCGACAUCGGAGAUAUCAUUUUCAAAAAGAAUUUCCCCUUGCUGUCGCUUUGCACCUAUUCGCUCGACGGCAUUUUUGGAAUCUGGAGACAAUGGAGACGUCAUGUUGUCUACCUCUUUCAAAGUCGUGUUCUCCUCCAACUGGCCUUGAUGUUGUCUCUGCACAGGCUCAUUGACUCGAUCACGAAAUGGUGGUGUGAGAGGCGAUCGCUGUCUUCCGGUCGAGUCUGCUCUCUUUUCCUGGCUUUGGCUAUCUGCUGGGGCAGGUUCAUCAUCACUUUGCUGGUCACUUCCCGCCACUUGGGUGGAUGGUUUCUGUGCCUGAUCUUCGCUUGCUCUCUGUUGACGUUCCCUGUCAGACUGAUUCUUCCAAUGAUCCCUCGUAACUUCAGCAGGCGUUCGAUUUAUGGAUUCGGUUGACACCUUAUUCUCAUCUUCGGAAGAAAUAGUUCCGACCAGGGACCUUAGAGGAUCAGGACUACUGGGCUCUUGUUCUUGAGAAGGCUGUCGGCGAGGAGUUAACUGUGGUGGGAAUGGUCUGCUAGGCUGCUGCGAGGCAGGCGCAUGCGUGUCUUCAUCUGACUCGAUGUGGAUAGAGACAGUGUCAUUCGUGCUAUCUGUCUCAUAUACAAAUGCUCCUCUACGUAUUGAAGGCCAACUCUGAGACGGUAUCCUGUCAAGGUCUUCCGCGUCUGUGUCCGAAUCGUCGGUUCCUUUAUUUUGUCGCCUACUUGUAUACCCGUUCUUAUGGUUGAUUCGAUUGUCAUCCUCUUGGCGUUGCUUCAGCCUCGCCUCUUCAUACUUGCGAGCAAGUUCCGGAUUGUCAGCUACGGCCUUCUUGAUUGCCGCUGUCUGAUCAGCCUCCAUAUUCUUUAUGUUGACCAGUUGGGCGUCAGUCUGACCAGCGAAUUCUUCUUCGUCAGAAGAGUUAAUGACGGUGCUGCCACUCAAGGGUGCAGUGGACUGAUCAGGCUUGUUCGUAAUAAUGCGGGUGGGGGCCACGCGUUGUCUCGGAACAGCAACGUUGUCUUUGUCAGGGGAAAUGGGAUCGGCAAGCUUUUCUCGACGACAACUGAUAGCUGUUCUCACUUUGUCUGUGUCGGCCACCUCUCUCUCUGAUUCAACAUCACCUUGCCUGAAAUUAAGAGGCUUCACAUUCAUUUUUGUUGUCUCCAUAACCCUCUCUCCGCUUUCUUCAUGUUCGCUUUCAUCUGGGUAACCUGCAGUUUCCCCUAAAAGACGCUGUCUACGCUCCUUAAUCGGAUGCUCCUCAUCGAUUUCGUCAAUCAAGAGUACGAGGACUAUCAAGGCCUUCCGGUCUUCGGUCUCUUGCUUUGACAGAUACGAGGUCUGUUCCAGUUUCCUCCAUCCUUUCCCGGUCUUCGAAAGGAACGGAGUCGAGCUGUGGCCGUUCUCUUUCUCUGAGUAUGUCUUUGAAUGGCACGAGGGCGUUUCCAUCGACCCCAGCUUCCUCUUCGCUGUCUGACUCGUACGGCACCGAACUGAGUGCAGGUCGUUCCCGCCCGAGACCACGUCCUGGUAACGCCCCUUUAGAGGGUACGAGCUGAGAACUUCUCUCCUCCAUAGUCUGUCGGUCGUGGAGAGACAUCGAAUCGAGCUCUGGUCGUUUUGGGACUGGCUGGCUGGGAGCUCCGUUGGAAGGCACGAUCUGUGAUUCUGUCAUCUUUUCCUCCUCAUCCUGGGACGUAAAAUCAAGAACAGCUUGCCGUAGCCUGCCGCUUCUGACGCCCAAUUGUACAGUCGUGGCCGCUGGCUCACCACCGGAGUGUUCUUCCAGGUCGUAAUCAGCUCGGAGAGUAGGUGGCAGGUUGCCUAUCAAAAACGGGGCGAUCGCGGUUUACGUCUGGUAUCUGACGAGUAAUUUCAAAAGAAGGUUGAGAGUCCAUCUGAAUUUGCCUGUUUCCUAUCAAUGGCCCCUGCUGUUGACCCGUGAGGGAAGUAAUAAACUCGGGUUUGACAGCCUCUGUGCCCUUUACGGUAAUGGGGACCGAAUCAAGAGCUUGUCUUUGUCUUUCCCAAGGUCUCCCGCAAGAAGCACUGUUUGGUGGAACAAGUUCUAGUCCGAUGGCUUGUUCAUUCACUUCCUCGCUGAAGUUCAUGAGGGCCAUUGGAUUUCUCUUCCCUUCUAUUGUCAUGUCCGAUCUUGUGGGCAUUUCGUCAUCGAUCCCCUUAAACUCGUUCUCGGCGUGUUUGGCAAUAUGUAAAUCAUCUGUUUCACUUAGAGGCUUUUGUUGGGAGAAAUGAGUGCGCCCACCUUGCAAUUCAUUGCUAGCAGCCGAUAAAGAGGCCUGUCGCCUUGCGAUAGUAUGACUACUACAUGUAACAAUUUGAUCAUCAAAGUUGGUGGAAAGGGAUUGGCGUUUAAUGGGCCUUCGAGCGGCAAUGAAUUGGCUUUGGUGAUCAUAGUCCAUCAACGCAUUUUCAUCCUGUCUAUCCUCUCCAGGUGGCCGAUGGGCAUUGCUGACAGUAAACAAUUCACGACUACGGCUUUCAGCUGUUUCGGAUUCGUUGGGUAGCUGUCUCAAAUUCGCACUCUCUCCAGCAGUGUAUUCCUCACUUUCCCGCUCCCAAUGUGCCGUACGCUCAAGAGCUGCCCUCCUAGCUGCUUCAGCAGCUAACAACCCGGUUUCUGCCUCUUCUUCGCCUUGUGUUACCCAUCUCUGAAGUUGCGCGCCUACGAUUGGGGUUUGAAUCUCUUCAAUUUCGCUUUCCAGUUCUGGGGUGAUAUAAGAUAUGCGCUGACUGUGAGCCAUGUUUUGAAGCUCAUCAGACUCCUGUUCAGGCGCAGAUGCAGGCGAUCUUAUUUCUUGAAAUAGCUUAUCACGGUGCCUUGCCGCCAGUCCGGCCGCUUCAGCAGGAUUCUGAAGGUAAGGAGACGAAGCUACUAUAUUUCCGUCAGGUAGCGCUCUGCAUGUAGAAGCGUAUCAUCUCACCAUGUGACGCAGUCUCUCUUGUCACAGCGAGAGACAAUCCUUCUUCUUCCUUGGGUCCAUUUUCU